UACAGAGGUCUCAAGCGUUGUUCGGAUUCAUUGGGCGUAAAGGGUGUGUAGGUGGCGCCGUAAGUCGGGUGUGAAAUUUCGGAGCUUAACUCCGAAACUGCAUUCGAUACUGCGGUGCUUGAGGACUGGAGAGGAGACUGGAAUUUAUGGUGUAGCAGUGAAAUGCGUAGAGAUCAUGAGGAAGACCAGUGGCGAAGGCGGGUCUCUGGGACAAGUUCCUGACACUGAGACGAAGGCCAGGGGAGCAAACGGG
rnacentral:rRNA from 1 species